CGACAGUUUAGAAAAAGAAUUUUUAAAGAUGUGUCACAUAAAAUUGAUUGGAACUGACGAAUAAAGUACAGUGUGUGAAGAGACUAGUGAGAGAAAUGUGUAUUUUUGGUAUGUAUACACCAUUUGCGGAAUUAUAUUGGAGCGCGUAGCAUUAUGCGCGCAUAGCUUCGACUAUAUUCCUUGUCAUUUGACACUUGAAAUAAAACAAAUAUCUAUAUUUACUGAAACCUCGGUAAAAUAGCUUUUUGUGACCCCUUUGACCGCUCGUCAGUUUUUAGGUCUCAAAACCACGCUAUUUCCCUCGGUCUCGGUAAAUACAUGUAAAUUAUAAAUAAUGAAUGAAUUGAUGAAUUAAUUAAUGAAUCAAUUUUUGAAAAAUUGCAUGUUAGAAAACACUUAGCACGUAAUUCUAUAAUUUUAAUAGUUAGAUGUAUUCGAUGACUUUCUGCAGUUUCCCAUUAGACCAAU